rnacentral:rRNA from 1 species
CGACUGGCGACCGGCGCACGGGUGAGUAACACGUAUCCAACCUGCCUCAUACUCGGGGAUAGCCUUUCGAAAGAAAGAUUAAUACCCGAUGGUAUAAUCAGACCGCAUGGUUUGAUUAUUAAAGAAUUUCGGUUAUCGAUGGGGAUGCGUUCCAUUAGGCAGUUGGUGAGGUAACGGCUCACCAAACCUUCGAUGGAUAGGGGUUCUGAGAGGAAGGUCCCCCACAUUGGAACUGAGACACGGUCCAA